rnacentral:sRNA from 1 species
ACUGUGCAGCGAGAGAGGAGGGAAAGGGGAAGCGUUUGUGCCUCUCUGCCCUCUGUCCGCCUCUUGCUGCAUAGUAGCCACAUCCAUGUCUCUUGUACCCUGCAAUCUGGAGGCCACUGCCAGAAGCUGGAAAUCCCAAGUACAGCAGCAAAAGGCUUGAGGAUGGAUUCUUGGCUACUGGUGCAUUGCCACUCCCUGCGACCCUCCUCCUUGUCUUCUGUCUUCUCCUGGUGGCAUCAGGCCUUGCUUCGUGUCCCAACAGGAGCCUCUGGGGCUGGCACAGCCCUCACCGCCUACAACCUGGGCCUGGUGGUUCUCCUAGGGUGCCUCUGGGAGGUUGUGGCCACCCCGCUGCUGGCUAACUGCAGCUACUUCUGCCAGCCAGUGGACUAGAGAUGGAGCAAGCAUGGAAUGAGGGCAUCUUCCUGGAGACAGGUAGGCACUGUGGAAUCAGCAGUGCGUAGAACAGUGAGGAAUUAGGGCUGAACCCAGCCCAGGUGGGACAAGCCCUGGCACCAGCCGACUGCAGUCUGAUGGAACUUCCCCUUCCUGCCCAGCAGAUGGCGAGCGUGUGCUGCUGGUGCCUCUUUCCAAAGGAUGUUGAAUUGUUUGACAGGUGUUCUUUACUUUAUGAAUGAAACCAGAGCAGCCCACCUUCCUGCAUCUCUACCACCAUGGCACCAUGCCCUGUGAAGGGUGAGCUGGAGUCAAAUACGUAGCAGGCAGCCAGGGUCAGUUUGUGGCCACUGCUGCCUCCUCUUCCUAUGGUCUCCUCACUGAGUGCCCCUUCCCUGUUGGGUUCAACAUGUCUAUGCUCCUGUAAGCCCUCAGCCUCCUCGUUCUCUUCCUCAACUUCUACCACCAGACACACCUGAGAGGCAAGCAAGAGAGGCUAAACUAGGAGCAGGACCCAGGGACUGAAACCAGCACAGCAUCCCCACAGAGAAUUGGGUGGAAGGCAGCAUGGCUUCCAGCUUACUGGUGCCGAGCAGAUUCCCCUGGGUCUCCAUUGUAUCCUCUGAAGGAAGGAGGAGGAUUGCCUUCUGUCCAGAUCUCAGGAUCAAACAAAUAGGUCCAACUUCCUGUGCUCACUUCAGUUAGAGCACUUCUCAUGUGACUUUGUAGCUUUGUGUGCAUCUCCUUCCUCUACUAGACCUAAGCCCCUCACUGGAAGGACUCUCUUAUUCUUGAUGUUCCCCACAUCUGGAAUUUCAAUAAACAUCUCAAUAAA